rnacentral:rRNA from 1 species
GAAUUUUCCGCAAUGGGCGAAAGCCUGACGGAGCAACGCCGCGUGAGGGAUGAAGGCCUCUGGGCUGUAAACCUCUUUUCUCAAGGAAGAAGACCUGACGGUACUUGAGGAAUAAGCCACGGCUAAUUCCGUGCCAGCAGCCGCGGUAAUACGGGAGUGGCAAGCGUUAUCCGGAAUUAUUGGGCGUAAAGCGUCCGCAGGCGGCCUUGUAAGUCUGUUGUUAAAGCGUGGAGCUUAACUCCAUUUCAGCAAUGGAAACUUCAAGACUAGAGUGUGGUAGGGGCAGAGGGAAUUCCCGGUGUAGCGGUGAAAUGCGUAGAUAUCGGGAAGAACACCAGUGGCGAAGGCGCUCUGCUGGGCCAUAACUGACGCUCAUGGACGAAAGCCAGGGGAGCGAAAGGGAUUAGAUACCCCUGUAGUC